AAACGAACAACAACUAAAGUCUUGACAAAUGUCGUAUAUUUUCAAGUGUGUAUGUCUCUUUAAGGCGUGAACGAGCCCAGGUGGGGACGCGCUUCUCUGGGCACGCGCUUUCUUUGUUCAGAGUUCUUCAUGUCAUCUAGCUGUUAGCAACGUCUCUCUUUUCUCUCGCUGAAUAAACAUGUCCAGAACUGAAGAAAUAGUCUUUUCUUCAUUCAAGUGUUAGCUGAUAGUCAACCGCUCAAAGGAAGAAGCCUUGUGAUUUUCCAGCAGCUUACAGGCAAGGACGCUCCAACGAAGCCACCGACAGCAGCAGCCCCAGAGGGAGCAGACAAAGAGAGAGAGACGGGUCCAGCAGUUGACGGAGCCCCAGAAGAACCGAGUGGACCGAGACUCUACACAAACAUUUAAUAAGAAAAGCUUUAACGAGGCUAAAUAAAAGACUGUUUCAAACAAGACAUUUGGGAGGAAAAUUCAUUAACAACAGUUUAAUAGACCCAGAAACAUUUACUAUUUUCAAGCAGCCUACUUCUUUGUAAAGUAGUAAAUCUCAAAAACUCUUAACCUAAACCAGUCUGAGAAUGGCAAUUAAGAAGACAAAUGCUUUUCCUUUCUAUGGCUAACAAACAGUCUGACAACGUCCCUGUAAACAACAAUUAACUGUUGCUUUCUGCUCAUUACACAGAAGAAUAAAUGAAAUAUAAAGCAGUGGUUUAUUUCAAAAUCAAUAUCGCAAUUUUCAACGCAAAGCUCUUUUCCUCAGCACUAAUGGAUUGUGAGAAUGUGAAAUGUGAAAUCACUGGUAAAUAGUAAUAUAGUAACAAAAAUUAAGGAAUCUUGUGUUUGCAAUAUUAUUCUAAGUCUUGGCAUUUAAUCUUAUUCCACUGGAAAGCCUGUUUAUUUCCUCUUAAAUGGUGCCAUAUUUCAUUCAAACGGAAACUGCUGUGGGUUGAACAGCAGAGUGGAGUUUGUGUGUUGCACCCAUGAAAAACAGAAAAUCUCUUUUUUCUGCUUUUGACUCUUUUUUGUUUUUGUUUUGUUUUUAUAUACUCCGCCUGCUGAUAAUCAGGUGCCUGAUUGGGACUUGAUUGUGAUCACCAGGUAUCUGUGAACAUGAACUUUGCAGUCAGCUGUCAGAAAAAUAUUCCUUAAACAACUACACAUACCUAAUGAAAUUUAUUAAUAAACAAUCAAUAGAUGCGUCUCUAUAACUGAAUAAUUUAUGGAGUCAACCAAAUUCAAGGUGGCUGCUCAAACCAACCCAUCUUAGAAAACACAAACAAAUCUGAAACUCAGUUCAUCCAUUCGUCUGUCUAUCAUCUGCUGCUUGUUGCAGAAUUGGAUCACAGUGAAAGCUGGAGAUGACUACAUGAUGACACCAGCAGGACCUCUGCAUCUACAACAGGGAUAGGCAACUGGCAGACCAUGGAGCACAUUCGGACCACAGGACGUCCUCAAACAGCAGAUGUUCUGAAGACAAACAGGAGGCAGACAGGAUGAUGCAACCAGGACAGGAGACACGAUCCAGACGCUCCUCAACGCUCCGAGGUUCAGAGAAGCAAAGGUUUGCCAUCGUUUCUUUUUUUUUUUUUAACAUUUCUCAAAUCCAAACUGCAAAACCUCAGCAGGUCAAGCUUUAAAUGAUUCAGGAGCUUGUUUGUUUGUUUGUUUGUUUGUUUACGUUCUGAUUGACAGUCGAAUCAAAUCUACAGGCUGGAUUCCCUGCAGUGAAGUCAGGACAGUUUGAGCUGAUCGGGGCUCUGCAGCAGACAGUUGCUGCUGAUCUGACUGGACAGACCCGCCCCGCCCCGCCCCGCCCGCACAGGAAGCAGCACCGUUCGGGGCGUUCUGAUUGGCUACUUGGAGGCAGCCUCCCCG